CUCAUCCCCUCACCUUGCCCUCCUAUUUCUUGAUAUGUACUUCCUUCUAGAAAUCCCUGUCUUUUCUUACCCCCAGCUCUCUUUUCUCUUAAUUCAUAUUCUUAUCUCUUAGCCCCUUAAGUAGACUUUUAAUCCUUUCCUUAUCCUAUCCCCUCCUUUUCCUAUUUCUCUAUAUCUUAAGAAGCAUUCCCUUUUUAACCUAGAUUUGAUGAGGAUAGGGUUUUAGUACUACCAACUGUCUGCCCCUUCCUCCAUUUCUCUGUGAUCGUUUUUCCAUUCAUGUUUAUUUAAAUGAGAGAAUUGUUCCAUUUUAUUUUUUAACUUAUCCCAAUAUACUCAACUUGACAACUUAAACAGCAUUUAAAUUAUCUCUUUCUUGCUGCUUGUAGUAUUUUCUCUGGGAAUUAGAGAAUUUAUCAAUGAUGUUCCUGUGCAUUUGCAUCUUGGAGUUUUUUUUUUUAGGUAGUAAUGAGGGAAUUCAUUCAUUUUCUAUUUUACCCUCUAGUUCUAGAAUUUUCAGCCAAUUUUUCUUAAUGAUUUCUUGUAGUAUGGUGUCUAAACUCUUUUUUUGAUCAUAACUUUCUAGUCAUCUGACAAUUCUUAUAUUGUCUCUCUUUGCUCUAUUUUCCAGGUAGUUUGCUUUUGUAAUAAGAUAUUUCAUAUUCUCCCUGAAUCAGUUCAAUUUAAAGAUACCAACAGACUGGACCAUGCAGGCAGUGGAACAAGACUGCUUCCAACCUCAUGAUAACCUCCAAGUGGAAGAGAUGCUGGUGCAGUCUGCAGAACAACUGCCUACAAUUGCUGCUUGCUGAUCUUAAAGCUUAGUUACCCCUGUUUCCUGUCUGUGGUAACAGAGGCUAUUCUGUCUUUCAGAAAAGUCUUCAGAAAGUCUUGUCUAAAUUCGAAUUGAGAAGCUGCCACAGUUAAUGGCUUCCAGGAAACAAGGUACUGGGAUUUCCCAAGAAGCAAUAGUUGAACCUACUCUGGUCUCUGCCUUUAGAGUUGCACAGAAGUCACAGAGCAAUGUGUAUGUGAAAUGUCAACAGAGACUAUGGCUCAUUCUUGGAAGCAACCAUCUGCAUCAUCAUCAAAAAUUAUUCGUUAGAUGCCCAUCUGUUCAUGGAUUUCAACAAUAUCAGCAGACUACCAUGAGAAACACUUUCUUGACCCCAAUGCUGGAUGAAACAGUCCCUAAUUGUGAUAAGGAAACUGAGAAAAAGAGAAAUUAA
rnacentral:lncRNA from 1 species